UACGUAGGGUGCAAGCGUUUGUCCGGAAUUAUUGGGCGUAAAGAGCUCGUAGGCGGUCUGUCGCGUCUGCUGUGAAAACUCAGGGGCUUAACCCUGAGCUUGCAGUGGGUACGGGCAGACUAGAGUGCGGUAGGGGGAGACUGGAAUUCCUGGUGUAGCGGUGAAAUGCGCAGAUAUCAGGAGGAACACCGGUGGCGAAGGCGGGGUCUCUGGGCCGUAACUGAUGCUG
rnacentral:rRNA from 1 species